UAAUAUUUUAAAAAAUAAAAUUUUUUAUUUUAAUUAAUGAUUUUAACACAUUUAUAAUUAGGCACCAAGAAAAAAAAAGUAUCUUUUCGGAGAGGUCAAAAAGUAAUUAAGCACUAAAAGUGCUUUUCAGAGAGGAAAAGCUAAAAAUUUUAAGUUCUCUAUUUCAAAAGUGCUUUUGAUUUUGAAAAGUCAAAAAUUUCAGCUGUAGGACCAAAUUUAUGCCCAGGCCCAAAGCUCCCAAACCCAAGACCCAUUUACAUCUAAAAUACAGGCCCAAAAAUAAACCCAAACAAGGCCCAAACAAACAGAAACCUAAAGCUGUUGCUUGAGCCCUCGCGCCGCACGCCUCUCACCAGCGUCCCACUCCACCAUCCACCGUACCUUCGAGACGUGCGCUACCAGCAAUCCCUCUUUGUCACGCCUCGUGCUUCCGAGAUAUCCGCAACAACACCUGUAACAGGAAGCAAACAGAUAGCAACCAAUAGAAGAUUUUAUUUGUUUUUCUAGGCUAUAAAAGCCAUUCUAAACAAUGUAAAAGGGUCGGUUUUUUUUACUACAAAAAUCAGAGAGAAAUAUACGAAAACAGCAAGUUUUGAGUAAAAGCUUUCAUACAUUCGAAUAGAAUAAGGUGGUUACAAUCUUUUCUUUUAGUUUUUUAAUCUUUAGAGCUUUUUGUGGAUCUAUCUUGUAUUUUUGAAAAACAGAGUUUAAAAAAAUAAAAAGAUUUUAGGAGGGCCUUACCUGGUUUCCGAUGGUCGCCGAUGAGCGCGGAGGGGAGGGGAAGCGCUGCGAUGAUGGGCGUUGCGCCCUAGCAGAAGGAGAAAGGGGGCCGAACCCCUUGGUUUUCUUUUUUGAAUUCGGCAAAAUGGGAUUAAAGAAAUGAGGGGGGGUUCUUUAAUUAUAGUGUUAAUGGCAGACAGCCAACUUUUUUGGUUUUAAUUACAAAGAGAGUGGACCAUUUAAUUUUGGGGGGGGGGCUUAUGGCGUACCUAGUCCUUCGUUUGCGUGUGGCCACUAGAUUGGGUCCUUUUAUGCUACUUUUUUGUUUUUUCAAAAUUGGCCCCAAAUAUUUGCACACCUCUUUGUUUUAGUCCUGUAUUAAAUGCUGUACAUUGGGCAAAAGAGAAUUUUCCAUUUUGGUCCCCCUAGUUCACAUGCGCGUCCAACGUGGUCCCCCUAACCGUUUUUAAUUCCUAUUUUGGCCCCAAAACUCCCAUUUUAAUUUCAAUUAAGCCCCAUUUUGAUUAUUUAAAUACUUUUAACAUAAAAUUAAUUGUUUUUUGUUUGUAAUAUUUAUUAUUUUUAUUCUAUUAUAUCCUACUGUUUUUUUAGUUUUUUUCUAUCCCACUAUUUAUUAUACUGUUUUUAUACUAUUACCUAUUAUACUUAUUAUAUUUUAAAAGUAAAACUAAUUAUUUUAUGUAUAAAUUUUUAUUAUAUUUAUUAUAUUAUCUGUUAUAUUAGUUUUUUUUUUAAAAUUAUUUUUUGUACUCUUUAUCUUAAAUAUUAUAUAUAUUAUUAAAGGUUAAUAAUUUUAAAUAUAGAUUGCUAUACUUACUAUAUUUUGCUUGUUAUACUUUAUUUAUUUUUUACUAUUUACUACUACUACUUUAUUAUUAUUAUUAUUUAUAACUUUUUAUAUUUUUUUUUCACUAAAGUUUUUUUCAAAUGUUCUUAUCGGUCACUAUUUUUUUACUAAACUAUUAUUAUUUAUUAUUUUACACUACUACUAAUUUACUAUAAUUAUUAUCUUUAUUUUACUUGCAUCACUAUAUCUAACAUCAUCAUUGGCUUAUUAUCUUCCUUUCCAUUGUGCAUUUUUUUAAUCAUUGCUGUAUUUAUCAUGUUAUUACAUCCAUCACUUCUGUUAUUACUACUGUUCUUAAUUUUCUUUAUGCUUGCUAUAUUUUAGGUAUUAAUAUAUGUUAUUAGGGUUAUUAUAUUGCUAUUUUCAUAUUACAUGUUAUCAUUUUUUUGUUAAGUUUCAACCGCCCAAAUUCAUUUUAUUUAAAGAUUUAUCCUCGAUUGUUUUCAAAAUAAAGGCAAUGUUCGAUAUUUAGGAUCCUGGGGAAGAUUAUGCCCUAACUUACUGGGUUCCAAUUUACCUCGUUAAACCUAAAUAACCAAGUACCCUUCUUAAAUCUAAUUGUAUGAAGUUCGAAUAAAAAAACUAUUCUUGGAAUUUAGGAUGUUGCACCCUAACUUACUGGGUGUGGCAUUGCAGUUUUGAGGAUAGGGAUUUCUAAAAUCAAGGCAAUACCUGGCACUUAGGAGUUUUGAAAGAUUGAGCUCUAACUUAUUGAGUUCUAGUUUUUCAUGAGUCCCGAAUGACCAAAUACCCUUCUCUUGAACCUUCAUACAUGAAUUUUAAAAAAAUCAAAGACUAACUUAGUUCCGAAGGUCUGAAGUGUUAGACCCUAACUUAUUGGGUAUGGCAUAUUUCUCCUUCGAAAUGAGUGGGUCUUUACAUUUUAUCCAAUUUAUGUUUUUUUAAGUAAGAAGAUCGUACUCUAAAAUCUUUUUAAGUUUUGACAUCAAGAUAUUAACUAAUCAAAUAAGGUACCAAUUUUUGGGCGUUGCGAGGGUGCUAACCCUUCCUCGUACUUAACCGACUCCCGAGCCCGUUUUCUCAAAUUUAGCAGACCAAAAAUCAUUAUUUUAAUAAGCCCAAAUGUUUUAUUAAAACGAUCAAUUUUAGGGUGGCCCAAUCACACCUCAAAAAGAAUUGGUGGCGACUCCAUUCAUAUUUUUAAAGUCGAUCCCCGUUUUUCAAAUUUUAAAAAUGGUUUCGACAGCUUGGCGACUCCACUGGGGACCUAUAAGAGAGUUAAGCCGUGAUUUGAUUACUUUUUGUCUUUUGUCGAAAGUUGAAUUUGGUUUGGAGUCUACGAUCCUCUUAUUGCAUUUCAUCUGUUUGGUGUUAUGUUUUUCUGGCAUUUUUUUCAAAGUUCUUUUAUAUCUUCUGUCAUGGCAUUGCAUGACCGUUGUGGUCACACCUCUUAAGUGGGAGUGAGAAGCUAUUUCCUUCGUGAGGUUUUCACCUCCGUGCAGGAUAGUGAAUCGCUUUCGGGAUACAUCCGUACCUAUGUCUUCGUGAGGUUUUCACCUCCAUGCAGCCAUAGGGAAAUGUAUCCCCCUGAACUGAACUCGGUCUAUAUGAGCCUAUAAUGGGUGAGGAUCGAGGAAUCUGCUGGUUCAGGUACCUCAACUCUAGAACCAAACCACAUAUAGAGGAACCCUAAGGGCCCACCUUUGGAAGAACUACGCAAACCCUAGUGAUUACCCCCAAUAGGUGCUUAUUUCUAUUUUCUUUACUUUGAGUUAUGUUUCUGAUAUAUGAUACUAACUUGCUGUGUUUUGUUUUGCCAUAUUUGCAUGUCAUUUCACAUUUGAAAGGUGUCAAUUUGUGUUCAAUUUUCUAAAUUAGAAAGCUCGUCAUGGGGGACAAAUUCCUUGAUAAGGUAGAAAAUAAUGCGGCUGUCCGUAAAUGGUCAGAGAUAACACAAUUAGAGAAGGGAGACAGCCUAGCCAAGGGAUACAAAUCUGAGUUAUGGGAUUAUACUCGCAUUAGCGUGACUCAAAAUAAUCAUCAGGAAUUGAAUGAGAUAUGGGAUCAGUGAGAUGAUGAAGCUAAACAAUUAUUCUACUGUAACUAUGGAGAUCUACCGUACCUACUUAAUAUCGAAAUAGACGAACACUUGUUCCAGGCCCUUGCUCAGUAUUGGAACCUUGCAUAUAGCUGCUUCAUGUUUGGGAGGGUGGAUUUAGUACCCACGGUGGAGGAGUAUACAACUUUAUUAAAUUGUCCGAAGGUACAAGUCAAUAAGGCCUAUUCGAGAGUUGCUUAUGUUCCGGCAUUUUCGAAAAAGCUAAUGAAUAUUACUAGAAUAAGUGAACAGUGGGUUACGACAAGAAUCAAGCAGAAAGGGGAGUGUAAGUGCAUCCCAUGGAAGAAUUUGCGAGAUUUGAUCCUAACACAUCCUAAUAUGAAGAAGAAAGUCGACGUAUUUACCUUGAGUAUCUACGGGUUGAUGCUCUUCCCUAGGGUAUUGGGAUAUAUUGAUAAGGCGGUCACGAAUCUAUUCAACCGACUUGACAAGGGAGUCACACUAGUUCCUGCAAUUUUAGCUGAGACAUUCAGGUCCUUGAACGCGUGUAGAAGGACCGACGAAGGCAGAUUUAUAGAGUGUGCACAGUUAUUGUUAGUAUGGUUUCACAGUCAUUUUUGAAAGAUAGACAAAGGUCAUUAUCGAGCUUUCUUUGGGAAUUAUUCCUCAUUAAAGGAGAUAGCAGCUACACCCAGAAGAGAUGACAUAUCGGAAGAAAACUGGAUCGCGCUCUUACGGAAUCUCCAGGGAGAGGACAUUGAGUGGAAAGCACCUUGGUGGAUGCCGAACAAAAUUCUUUUUCGAUGUGGGAGUUUCGAUUGGGUCCCUUUACUUGGGAUCUAGGGAGCCAUUGGAUAUGCUCCAUUGCUCGUGCUUAGGCAAUAUGCAGCAAGACAGUUCAUACUGGUAACCCAUGGGCUUGCUCAAUGCGAAUUUUCGUAUAAAGGAGACUACAAGAAACGGGUUAAAGAGAUUUCUAAUGCUUAGAAUCAGACUCGUCGAGUGGAAGGGUUGGCUGCAGAUCUGAUGACGACCCUUGAGUAUGAUGGAUAGUUGAGUAGACGAGUUAACGACAAUAUCCUUGGGUCGAGUUUAGAGGGUGCUCAACCGAUAGAGGAGUAUCUGUGAGUGGUUCACUCCGAAUUGGAAAUUAUAAAACAGGAUUUUGAGAAGAGAAGUUCAGAGUUGGGGAAAAAGAUAGAGCAACUCGAAGAGGAUAAGGUAUAUCUAAAAUUAGACAUUGACAUCCAGAAAUUAGACGCCGAGAAACUAAGAAAGGGGAAAAAGAAAGCUGAAGAAGACUUGGACAGUCUGAAGAAUGAUUACAAGGAGCUGCAUAUGUCGAUGAGAACUGCUGGGUCGGGAAAAACAUCGAAGCAAUGGCAACAAGAAAUCCAAGAAGAAAAGUCUAAGGCCGAUCAAUGGAAGAGGAGGUUCUGUGAUGCUCAAACACGAGAGGAAGCCCUGAAAAGAACUACAUCAGAGAGCCAAAGCGAAAAUGAGACGUUAAGAGCUCGAAUAACAGAGUUAGAAAAAAUAUUGCAUCAGCAUCAUAGUCGUAACUCUGUAAUGGAAUUAAAGGCUAGCUUAAGUGAGAUCGAGAAUCUGAAGGGGAAGAUAGAAGAACUUGGGGCUACGCUACAGGAUUGUGAACACCGAAUUGAAUCACUGGAAGUAAAUAGUGAGAAACUAGAGGAGCAACUUCACCGGUCUCAGAAUAAGGUUCGAGAUAGAGAUCACCUCAUGAGAGAAGCUAUAGUUCAGAUUCGAGAAGUGGCGGAACAUUUACAAAUCCUGGCCGUCUAAGUUGAUGCAUUAAGUGUAAUAUAUGAGUCAGUAUCGAACCGAGGCUAAGAGCUGGCUGAACUUCUUAAAAAAUUUAGAGCUCUGGGCAUAAGGGCUAGGCCGUAUAUGUAGUCUAUUUUUUAUGUAAAGGAUUUUGUCUUUUAGUAAAGUUAUUCUAAAUAAAAUUGAAUCAGAUUGACACCUUUUUGCAUUCAUGUCAUGCAUUUGCAUUGCAUAGUAUCAUAAACAUUAAGUUGCACAAAAGAACCCUAUUAAUUAGUGAUAAUUUAUCUAGUUAUCCUGGAACAUCGCUACUAUACACGGAGGAAAACAAGGGAUAUGGAUCAGAGGUUAGAAAAAUUAGAACAAAUGCAAAAGGAGAUGCAGGAGCAACUGCAAGCUCAGAUGCAAGAACAGUUGGCUAGGAUCCAGCAGGAGAUGAGGGAUCAAAUGCCGGAGUCCCAAAAAAACAUGCUGGAGUCACAGAACAACAUGAUGACCAGCUGACACAGCUGCUGAAGGGAGGGUCUGACAAAGGAAAAAGCCCUAUGGGUGAUAUUGAGAAUAACAACGAUGACUCUGCUUGUCCUACAAGCUUCGCCCAGUAAACAUUCAAACACAGCCACCAAGGGUGUCUGUUAAUGUUAAACAUCUGUAUCAAGCUAGCACUUCAGCACCGGUAAACUUCCCAACGGGCUCGUGCUCUAACCGUGGAGACAAUAUGGCAAAUCCCACGAUCCCUGACUUCGAUGAGGUUGGAGGGGAAAAAGUAAGGGAGGAGCUCCCAAAGUAGCUCGAGGAUCAGUGCAAAUAGAUAGAGGAGAAGUUCAAGGAGCUAGAAAGUGCUGAUCAUUAUUGCGGAGUUGACGCAAAGGAACUCAGUUUGGUCCCGGACUUAGUACUUCCGCCGAAGUUCAGGAUGCCAGAAUUUGAAAGAUAUAAUGGAACCAGUUGCCCUGAGGCUCACAUUACGAUGUUCUAUCGGAGAAUGACGGGAUAUGUCAACAAUGACCAUUUACUGAUUCACUGUUUUCAGGAUAGUUUGACCGGGGCCACAGCCAAAUGGUACAAUCAGUUGAGCCGUGCUCAGGUCAAAUCAUGGAAAGAUUUGGCACAGGCCUUCAUAAAACAGUAUGGCCAUGUGACUGAUAUAGCACCUGACAGGAUUACAUUACAGAACAUGGAGAAAAAAUCAGGUGAAAGCUUCAGGAAAUACGCCCAGAUGUGGAGGGAAGUCGCUACGCAAGUCCAACCACCACUGCUGGAAAAAGAAACAACUAUGCUGUUUAUUAAUACCUUGAAGGCACCUUUCAUUAAUCAUAUGUUGGGGAGCGCAACUAAGAGUUUCGCAGACAUAAUGUCUGGCGAAAUGAUAAAAAAUGCAAUAAGGUGCGGGAAGAUAGAAACAGGGGAAAGCACGAGAAGGUCAACCCAAAAGAAAAAGGAAAACGAGGUAAGCAUCGUAAGCUCAGGCUAUUCAAAACCUGUCACCGUUAAUCAAUCGAGAACGAUAGUCACAGGCCAGCAGGCCACACUAAGGCGAGAGCCUAACACAAGGCAGAAUACAGAGAGGUUCCAGUUCACUCCUAUACCAGUGAUGUAUAGGGAGCUGUACAAAAAGUUGUUCGACGCACACGUAGUGGCCCCUUUCCACUUAGAACCGUUACAACCUCCAUACCCUAAAUGGUAUGAUGCAAAUGAUUAGUGCGAAUACCACGCAGGGAUUACGGGGCACUCGAUAAAAAAUUGUACCUCGUUUAAAAGGUGCGUAGAAAGGCUUAUCAAAGCAGGUGUUGUAAAAUUUGAUAAUACAUCUGGUAUGAGAAAUCCGUUGCCCAGUCAUACUAAUAAAUGGGUAAACGCGAUAAUUGAGAAUAUGGGAAGGAAAGUCAAGCUGAAUAUCGCAGAGGUGAGAACCCCAUUGAAGCUAGUUUGGAAGGAAAUGCAGAAGAGAGGUUUAGUCCUGCAAGGGUUGGGGGAUAAAAUCCAAGAUACACGGAACUACUAUGAGUUUCAUCAUGAAAAAGAUCAUGAAAUCCAGAAUUGUAUUGAGUUCAGGGCCCUAGUGCAGGGUCUAAUGGAUAAUAAGGAAUUGGAGUUCCUCGAGUCUAUCAAAGAGGUGGAUGUAUGCUCUCUAGGAGGAGAUUUAGGUGAAGAAGGCUGCAAAGCCAGCCAUUCAGUGAUAAUUAUUUCAAAGCCCAGAAUUAGUGAAGUAGAAGCAAGAGUUACACCAAGAGUUAUAAUCCAAAGGCCAGCAGCUUCCCUCUAUAAAGAUAGCUAUAGGGUGCCUUGGAAUUAUAAUUGUAGUAUAGCAGUUGCAGAGAAUGAGGGUUCGAUUAACACGCCAAACACAAAAGCCGAACCAGCAAAAGGGAAACACGUCAUGCUCAAGCAAGAAGUAGAGAGAUCAGAACCACUGGUUAAUGAGCCAGUAAUGGAAAAUGAAGCCAAGGAGUUCUUGAAGUUCCUAAGACACAGCGAAUUUAGUGUUGUGGAACAACUACACCAACAACCGGAUCUCAUAUCAGUAUUAGCUCUGCUGUUAAAUUUGGAGGUCUACCGUAACGCAUUGAUGAAAGUGUUGAACGAAACCUAUGUUACAGAUAACAUUUCGAUUAACAAAUUGGAUCGUAUUGUCGGCAACAUAAGUGCUGACAAUUUCAUCUUCUUCAGCGAUAAUGAGAUACCGCCAGGGGGUAAGGGGUCUACUAAGGCUCUGCAUAUCACUACACGUUGCAAGGGGUAUACGCUACCUGGAGUACUAGUUGAUAAUGGGUCUGCAUUGAAUGUGUUGCCUUGGGCUACGUUAAACCGUUUACCUAUAGACAGUUCCCAUAUGAAGACGUGUCAAAACAUAGUAAGAACAUUUGAUGGCACAGAAAGGAAAGUAAUGGGAAGGAUAGGGGUACCUCUUCAGACUGGCCUAAACGCGUACAAGGUAGAUUUCCUCGUGAUUGAUAUUAAGCCUUCCUAUAACUGUCUAUUAGGAAGACCUUGGAUUCACUCAGCUGGGGCAGUGCCAUCCUCGCUGCACCAGAAGCUAAAGAUGGUUACUGAGGGUCGGCUAAUAACAAUAAAUGCAGAUGAGGAUAUUAUUGCGUCAGUUACCAGUGAUGCACCCUACGUAGAGAAUGACAACGAAGCGGUUGAAUGUUUAUUUCGAUCGUUAGAGUUUGUAAACGCAACGUUUAUAGCUGAAGGAAGUAGGAUUCUGAUACCUAAGAUAUCAGGGGCUACGAAAAUGAGCCUGCAGUUGACAGUUGGGAAAGGGGCAUUACCUGGCAGAGGACUCGGGAGGCACCUCCGUGGAUAAGUUAGAGUGCCAGUCUUGGUUGGCAAGUGGGAUCGCUUCGGUUUAGGAUUCAGGCCAGAUGUAAGCCAAGUGAAGAAAGAGUUUGAAAGGAAACAAGAACAGCGGAGAGCGAGAUUGAGUGGGACAGAAGUCAGGUGAGAACCGAUGAGCUUCCCCCACAUUUUCCAAACAUUUGUAUCUGGAGGGUUUAUUCAUUCUGCACAGGAGAGGAUAAAAGAAGGAAUGGUCGAGGAUGUGAUAAGAAUUUGGAACAUCAACGCCACGUUUGAAGAGGAAGCAAUGGAAAGGAAUUUAUCAGGCAUUUGCCCAUAUGAGUCUGGAAGUGUUUUGGAUAACUGGACUGAGGAAGAAAUUCCUGUAAUCUUUAGAGCUAACACAGAGUAAUAUUCAAAACUCACUUGUUGUCUUCUAGCCUAGGGACAAUAAGAAUCUUUUGCGAAAUAGGCUCAUGUUCAAACAUUAUUAUUUUCAAUAAAAAAUGUAUUUUCAUAUAUCGGUUCGAGUAAUUAUUCUUUCUUUUUUUUCAUUUUAUACACAAUCAUACCAUACAAAGGAAUUAUUCAUUUCGUUUUCUUUGGGUACUCUCUUAUACUCAUAAUAGGCCCCCAGAUGUCAACGUCAUGAGUAAUGCUGAUGCGAGCCCGGAAUCUCCUUUUGAGUGAGACAUGUGCGUUUAGGGAUUUCAAGAUUUUGAAGAGGACGAGGAUUGUGGUUUAUCUCUCGAUUUGUUAAGGAUGGUGGAGCGAGAAGAGGAAUAGAUCCUGCCACACAAAGAGACUACUGAGAUUGUGGCCCUGAAAGAGGGGAAGGAAGUUAAAAUUGGCACUUGCGUUAACGAGAAAACAAGACAGAACCUCAUUGAGCUGUUAUAAGAAUUCAAUAACGUCUUUGCAUGGUCAUACCAGGAUAUGCCUGGUCUAAGUACCGAUAUCGCAAUGCACCGUGUCCCUACAAAAAAGGAGUGCAAGCCAGUUCAGCAGAAGCUCCGAAGGAUGAGACCCGAUGUAGCAAUGAAAAUAAAGGAAGAAGUCAAGAAACAGUUUAAUGCUGGAUUCCUACAGGUGGUCAAUUAUUCAGAAUGGGUAGCCAACGUUGUCCCUGUCCCUAAGAAAGAUGGGAAAGUGCGGAUGUGUGUAGAUUACAGAGAUUUAAACAAGGCCAGCUCAAAGGAUAACUUUCUAUUGCCUCACAUAGACACUCUAGUGGAUAAUACAGCAGGUUAUUCACUGUUCUCCUUCAUGGAUGGGUUCUCCAGGUACAAUCAGAUCAAGAUGCAUCCUGAGGACAUGGAAAAAACCACAUUCAUAACUUUAUGGGGAACGUUUUGCUACAAGGUGAUGCCCUUCGGGUUGAAAAAUGUAGGAGCCACAUAUUAAAGAGCCAUGGUAACUUUGUUCCAUGACAUGAUGUACAAAGAAAUUGAGGUCUACGUUGACGACAUGAUUACAAAAUCCUGAACUGAAGAGGAGCAUGUGCGAGUGUUGAGGAAAUUAUUCCUAAGGUUGAGAAAAUUCCAAUUAAAGCUCAAUCCGUCAAAAUGCACCUUCAGAGCUAGGUCCAGAAAGUUACUCGGCUUCGCAAUCAGUGAGAAGGGAAUAGAAGUCGACCCUGAUAAAGUCAAGGCUAUACAGGAGCUGCCUCCGCCACGAACUCAAAAAGAAGUCCGAGGUUUCCUAGGGAGACUAAACUAUAUUGCAAGGUUUAUUUCGCAACUGACUGAGAAGUGUGACCCCAUAUUCCGUCUUCUUAAAAAGCACAAUCCUGAGGUAUGGGAUGAUGAAUGCCAAAAAACCUUUGAAAAGGUUAAACAAUAUUUGUCUAGUCCCCCAGUGCUAACACCACCAAGCCCUGAUAGACCAUUGAUACUGUAUUUAACAACAUUUGAUAAUUCGAUGAAGUGUGUGCUUGGCCAACACAAUGAGACUGGGAGAAAAGAAAGAGUGAUAUAUUACCUUAGUAAAAAAUUCACUGAGUGCGAAAUAAGGUAUCCGCCAAUUGAGAAGCUAUGCUGUGCUUUGGUUUGGACAACACGAAGGUUGAGGCAAUACAUGUUGUACCAUACAACUUGGCUAAUCUCAAAGCUAGACCCUCUCAAAUACAUGAUGGAGUCAACCGCUUUAAAUGGAAGGAUGGCCCGAUGGCAGAUUCUACUCUCUGAAUUUGACAUAGUCUAUGUAAACCAAAAAGCUGUGAAGGGGAGUGCAAUAGCAGACUUCUUAGCCAGUAGAGCUUUGGAGGACUAUGAACCUUUGAAUUUUAGUUUCCCCAAUGAAGAUCUAAUGUAUGUAGCAAUCGCUGAAGGAGACAUGCCUGAAGAUCAUUCUUGGAAAUUAAAUUUUGACGGAGCAUCAAAUGCCGUUGGAAAUGGAGUUGGGGCAGUACUGAUAUCCCCAAAUAGAGAUCAUUAUCCAUUCACUUGCAAGCUGGAUUUUGACUGCACAAACAACAUGGCAGAAUACGAUGUAUGUAUCAUGGGAAUUCGGGUAGCUAUAGACCGCGAAAUCAAAGUAUUAGAAGUGUAUGUAGAUUCUGCAUUAGUAAUUUAUCAACUUAAAGGCGAGUGGGAAACGAGAGAUCCUAAAUUGAUUAGUUACCAAAAGCUAAUCCUGGAGUUAAUUGAAGAGUUUGAUGAUAUUACCUUUCAUUACCUCCCGCGAGAUGAGAAUCAGAUGGCUGACGCCUUGGCUACACUAGCUUCCAUGAUCAAAGUAAAUUAACAGGAGGAUAUGAAGCCAAUUCAAAUGAGUAUUUGUGAGGCUCCAGCUGACUGUUGUAAUGUCGAUGAAGAGGAAGAGAGAGAUAAUCAUCCUUGGUAUCAUGAUAUUUUACAAUAUGUGAAGAGCAGUGCGUACCCAGAUCAAGCAACCGAAAAUGAUAAAAGAACAUUGAGGAGGUUAGCCAGUGACUAUGUCCUAGACGGUGAGGUCCUAUAUAAGAAGAGAAAGGAUCAGGUGUUGCUAAGAUGUGUUGACGCUGUUGAGGCAAAAAAAUUCUAGAGAAAGUCCAUGAUGGUGUCUGUGGGACACAUGCCAAUGGUUUCACAAUGGCUCGACAAAUCAUGAGAUUCGGAUAUUACUGGUCCACAAUGGAAAGAGAUUGCAUCAAUUAUGCUAAGAAGUGCCAUAAGUGUCAAAUUUAUGGAGACAAGAUCUAUGUGCCUCCUUUACCCCUCCAUGUUUGACUUCCCCAUGACCAUUCUCAAUGUGGGGCAUGGACGUCAUUGGGCCGAUUUCGCCAAAGGCUUUCAACGGACAUCAAUUCAUUUUUGUGGUUAUUGACUACUUUACCAAAUGGGUAGAGGCUUCUUCGUACUCUAAUGUCACAAAGUCGGUGGUCAGCAAGUUCCUGAAGAAGGAGAUCGUAUGUCGUUAUGGUAUGCCAGAAAGAAUUGUAUCUGAUAACGCGUUGAAUCUGGACAAUAGCGCAAUAGUAGAAGUCUGCAGUCGGUUCAACAUUAAACAUCACAACUCGUCACCAUACCACCCGAAAAUGAAUGGGACGGUUGAGGCAACUAAUAAGAAUAUCAAGAAGAUUAUGGGGAAGACGGCGGAGACCUACAAAGAUUGGCAUGAAAAGCUCUCAUUUGCCCUUUAUGCUUAUCGGACAUCUGUCAGAACUUCUACAGGGGCAACACCUUUCUCAUUGGUUUAUGGGAUGGAGGCAGUUUUACCUAUUGAGGUCGAAAUCCCUUCCCUCCGAGUUUUAUCAGAGCUGAAGAGAAGAGGCUGAAGGCUAUUCGUCAUGGUCAAAUGUACCAGAGGAGAAUGAUGCGAGCCUACAACAAAAAAUUUCGCCCCAAGGUGUUCCAUGAUGGGGAAAUGGAUGUCAAAUUAGGAAGGACCCUAUGUGGUAAAAAAGGCUUUCUCUGGAGAGGCAUUGAUACUAGCAGAGAUGGAUGGCAAGAGCUUGCCUAACCCGAUAAAUUUGGAUUUUGUCAAAAGAUAUUUUGCUUGAAGCAGUUGAGGUGAAAACCAGUAAAGGGCGCCAAAAAAAAAGAGAAGCCAAGGUGAAAACCCGUAAAAGGGCAUCUUGAGACCAAAGGGGUUUUGAAUUGAAAAGCCGCAAAGGGCAAUUCAAAUUUUGAUCCAAACUGGGGCAAGCGGCAAUCUCACUACACUUGAAUCGACAAUGAGGAGAUAAGCUACAUCUUGGGGCAUCAACAAAAUGCUAUAGAUCCCUUGAGCGCGUACCAAGUUUAAAAGGGUCCUCGAGGAGUUCGUACAGGGAAGCUCAAACUGCGAAAUUUGGGGCACCUAUUCUAUUCCUUUUUAUCCGUUUUUGUAUCUCAAACAAUGUAUGCUUUCUUUGUUGAUACAUCUUUCGCAAAUUUUGACUCGAAUAAAUUUCAGUUCUACCUAUCAUUAUAAUCUUUUUCGAGUAUUUUUAUUAAAAUAAUGAUUAAUAAACUAAUGAUGCUCUUAGAAGAAGGUUUUGCAUAUUACUCUGAAAGGUUUCUAAACAGUACGAGAACCUGAGACAGGACAAUUAUUUAGAACUCACCGAGCUUAAAACGUGUGAGAAAUAAGGAAUUAACCGCAUCUCCAAGUCCUCUUCUACCAAGCUGAACAAGAAGGCAUAUGUCAGGGAUGUUACCUUAGUAAACAACGAGCGAUGACAGCCCAAAAAUUAAAAUGGAUCAUUCUCAUGACAUUUUGCAUUUUGUGCAUUUAACAUCCAUAAUACAUGUAGUUAGGAGCAUUUAAUUCAUAUUAAUCAUGGCAUCCUAAUCAUCUAGCAUAAGCAUAUCACUCUUCUACAGAUGGAUUCCUUAGUGGACAAUGUAGCAGGAUUACAGAUAUCAUCAGCCUUAUCUUCACUGAGCAGGAGUGGAGCAGGCUAUAUACUAGAUAUUAUCUUCGCUGAGCAGGAGCGGAGCAGAUCAAAUUUUGGUGAAUCUUAUCUCCAUGUAUCGGCAAUGGAGCAGAUUUCAGCCACCAGCCUUAUCUUCACUGAGCAGGAGUGGAGCAGGCUAAAUACCAGAUCUUAUCUUCACUGAGCAGAAAUGAAGCAGAUCAAAUUUUGGCAAGUCUUAUCUCCAUAUAUCGGCAAUGGAGCAGAUUUCAGCCACCAGCCUUAUCUUCACUGAGCAGGAGUGGAGCAGGCUAUAUACUAGAUCUUAUCUUCGCUGAGCAGGAGCGGAGCAGAUCAAAUUUUGGUGAAUCUUAUCUCUAUAUAUCUGCAAUGGAGCAGAUUUCAGUCACCAGCCUUAUCUUCAUUAAGCAGGAGUGGAGCAGGCUAAACAUACCGGAUCUUAUCUUUACUGAGCAGGAGUAAAGCAGAUCAAAUUACAGCAGAUCACAUCUCCGUGAAGCAGCAACGGAGCGUUUUGAAGUAAUAAGGUACGGUGGGUUGUGGCAAUGAAGACAAGACUCAGCCAGCCCAGACAAAUUUGGCUCUUCUAAAAUCUUUGCUCUAUCCUCGUUACAUGAUAAUGAGCAAAGAAGGGCAGCUGUAGGACCAAAUUUAUGCCCGGGCCCAAAGCUCCCAAGACCCAUUUACAUCUAAAACACAGGCCCAAAAAUAAACCCAAACAAGGCCCAAACAAACAGAAACCUAAAGCUGUUGCUUGAGCCCUCGCGUCGCACGCCUCUCACCAGCGUCCCACUCCACCAUCCACCGUACCUUCGAGACGUGCGCUACCAACAAUCCCUCUUUGUCACGCCUCGUGCUUCCGAGAUAUCCACAACAACACCUGUAACAGGAAGCAAACAGAUAGCAACCAAUAGAAGAUUUUAUUUGUUUUUCUAGGCUAUAAAAGCCAUUCUAAACAAUGUAAAAGGGUCGGUUUUUUUUACUACAAAAAUCAGAGAGAAAUAUACGAAAACAGCAAGUUUUGAGUAAAAACUUUCAUACAUUCGAAUAGAAUAAAGUGGUUACAAUAUUUUCUUUUAGUUUUUUAAUCUUUAGAGCUUUUUGUGGAUCUAUCUUGUAUUUUUGAAAAACAAAGUUUAAAAAAAUAAAAAUAUUUUAGGAGGGCCUUACCUGGUUUCUGACGGUCGCCGAUGAGCGCGCAGGGGAGGGGAAGCGCUGCGAUGAUAGACGCUGCGCCCUAGCAGAAGGAGAAAGGGGGCCGAACCCCUUGGUUUUCUUUUUUGAAUUCGGCAGAAUGGGAUUAAAGAAAUGGGGGGGGGGGGGUUCUUU
rnacentral:lncRNA from 1 species